UCACUCUCACUCUAACUCUCUCUUGUUUAAGAAUAAUUAUUAGUGGAAAGUUUCAAUUUUGGGGGUUUCUUGCUCCUAGUUUUGAUUUUGGGGGUUCCUGUCAUAUUCCAAUUAUGGUUUUCUUGUAUUAGAAGGAUGUUAGUAUGUAUAUAUCAAUCUCAACUUUUAUGUAUAGCCUUUUAAAUUCCACUUUAGUUCCAACAUGAGUGCUUCCAAUUGCCUAACAUUCUUAAUGUCUUCAUUAACAAGGUCUUUAUGCAGAAUUGUACAUGAUGAAUUGGGUGUGAUGAUAUUGAUAGUGGUUGUGUUUAUGGUUAAUUUUGCAGGAGCUGAACUUGGGGAGGAAAAGGAUAAAAUCACUUCAGCAUGAACUUUUGUGGAGGAAAGGGAAGGAUUUGAGUGUCCAAAUGAGGGAGCUGUUGUGAAAUUGAAACUAGUUGGGAAGGUUGAGCUAAUGGUUCCUCCUAACUCCACUGUAAUUAUGAGCUUGAGCUAGUGCCAUUUGAGAAGGAUAUGGAAAAUGGAGGAUGCUAUAGAUGGUGGUGCACCUUUGGAUUAUGCUUCAAAACAGCAAAACGAAUGAAUAAAUAAAAUGGUAGCAUUAAGGGAUGCUACAAACCCAUAUAUACAGAAAACAUCUGAACAGAGAAAAGACGGGGGGCAAAAUGCGGGAAGCUACAAGGGGCAGUAAAGGAGCACGCUGGACUUGAGAGAGCAGCAAAAAUCAACAAAAGGAAAAAGAGAGGCCAUCCCUGAGAUCAAGAGCAAGAUGCUGCGCCUUUCACCUACUUGAUGAAACAGGGCAGAUUUGAAAUCUGUCUUCUGAUGGACUGCAGUGCAGGACAGAUUCAAUGCUUCCAACUGUGAUUUAAACCCAGGCACUCACUUGGGUUACAUUCCCAGUCAUAGGAAGAGUAUAAGAACCCUUUCUUCUUGCAUUGAAGCCAUUUCCAAGAUUAAAUUGUAACACUGAUGUUAUACUUUCCCUGUACUAUAUGGGUAGUUCUCACAGAAAAAUCAGGCAGUAGUGCAGUACUUUCCUUCUUGGCAAUUGUCACUUUUUUAUGUUGUGCUUUAAUUUGCUUUGUAUUAUGAUAACUUGUUUCCAAUAUCAUAAUUUUUUUUUUUGGUACAUAAUCCAAUAUCAUAAUUUGAAUGUCUUUUUGUUUAUAAGUUGUCUAUGUGCAGUAUUUAGUGGUUUUAUUAAGUAUGAUGAAUGACAAUUGUUGUUAAAACCGCUGAGGGUGGCUUGUGGCAAACCUCUGGAACAUAUUUGCGGCGGUUUAUAACCUCUACUAAUAAGUAGAACUUUCACCAGCAAUAUGAAAAGCCACGGUUAAGCCCUGGACGUGGCCAUAAAGUCCACAUAUUGCCACGGUUCCGUCUAAGACCGUGGCAAUAGAGGCCACUUAUUGCCACGGUUGCCCUUUUUCCAACUGUGACAACAGAAAGUAAUUGCCACGGUUCGACGUUUAACCGUGGCAAUUGAGCCACGGGCGCUAUUGCCACGGUUAAACCGUGGCAAAUGAGCGAGUUUAACCGUGGCGAUAGGCCUUUUCUGUAGUAGUGGCUACAGCUUUUCGGUGCAUAUCAAACCAUCUAUUGACAAUAAGGUUCCAAUCUUCAGCAUCCAUCUAACACUAACACUGUAAAAUAUUUAUAAGUCCAUUUAUGUCCAUCUAUGUAAUAAAAUAAAUACCUUAAUCAAAUAAAGCUAAAU